ACAGCCACGAGAGAUCCUCGAAUCCUCUUCUUUCCCGAAGCGAGAGCUUCUUCCAUCUACGCGUUUCACACCUUCCUCCAUCCUAAAGGCUGUAAAUGGCUGUCUCCAAAGUUGCAAGUCUUAAAAACUUGAAUUUUGGGGCAUCAUGCUAGAAGAUAGAAAUGACUCAACGCUGGAUUGAUGAUGCGAAGUAUUUAAAUUCCACAUUUCCUAAUGUUCAUUCCUCGUCACAGUCUUCGUCUCAUUCCCUUCCACGAAACAGAAAUGUUUGUCAGUUGCUAGCGAAGCGGGAAAUCUCACCUAGAGCAAAAUGUUCCUCGAAAAAAGUAUGGGGAGAGACUUCAAAAUUUAGGGUUGAUUGCUCUGGGCCAAAGUGCGAUGUGAUAGAUGCAAAACUUGCUCUUCUUUCUUGGGUCGAAGCAGAGUCUCUGUGUCAUUUGUUAGCCAAGUACUGCCCUCUUCUUCCUCCCCCAAGAUCCACGAUAGCUGCAGCAUUUAGUUCUGAUGGGAAAACACUUGCCUCAACACAUGGUGAUCACACAGUUAAGAUAAUUGAUUGCCAUACUGGAAGCUGCUUAAAGGUCUUGAGUGGUCACCGUCGAACACCAUGGGUGGUUAGGUUCCACCCUCUAUACCCUGAAAUUCUUGCCAGUGGUAGUUUGGAUCAUGAAGUUCGUAUCUGGGAUGCACAUACUGCUGAUUGUAUAGGGUCACGUAAUUUUUAUCGCCCUAUAGCUUCUAUUGCUUUCCAUGCCCAGGGAGAACUACUUGCUGUAGCUUCAGGCCACAAGUUGUAUGUAUGGAACUACAAUAGGAGAGGGGAAACAUCUUCUCCAACAAUUGUUCUGAAGACUAGACGGUCAUUAAGGGCUGUGCAUUUUCAUCCACAUGGUGCCCCGUUUCUAUUGACAGCCGAGGUUAACGAUCUUGAUUCUCCAGAUUCAACAUUGACACUUGCAACUACAUCUGGUUAUUUGCAAUAUCCACCUCCUGCUGUCCUUUUUGCCAAUAUGAAUUCUAGUCUACAGUCAUUUGUGGAGGCCAAAGUUCCAGUAAUGCCUUCUCCAUACUUUUUUAUGCCAACAUUUCAGAAGGAUGAUGUUCCGACAUCAUUACAGCUUAUUGGCAGGGGGGGUGGUGUUUCUGGAAAUGACCAGCAAAGGCCUGAUGGUCCUAUAUCUAAUCUACAAGGAUCAGUGAAUUGGGGGAGCCAGCUGGACAAUUCAGUGACUCUUAUGGAAAUGUCUCCUGCAGAAAGUCAUGGCUCUAGUUUUACUGAUACUGAUUUUCAUUCUUUUGCGCCUAGGGUUGAAGCUUCAAAUUAUAGUUCACUUGUUGGGGGUACGGAUUCAACCAGUGGUCAACCUAGUAGUUGGUUUCAACAUAGAUAUACAAGCAAUGCUGAGAGAACAGAUGUUUCGAAUGCUUUACCGGUGGCUCUUAGGAUACCUAUCAGACAAGCUAGAAGUGGCAGUGACAGUAAUAUUGCCAUAAACUCCUCAAGCUCUUCUGGAAAUGCUGAAAUUCAAAUGCUUCUAGGGAGCAUAGAAGCAGGACAAGUUCAGCAGUUUAUUCCUGUCACUGAUUCAGCUAGCUGGGAGCUUCCUUUUUUGCAGGGUUGGCUUAUGGGUCAAUCUCAUGCAGGCUUGCACUCAUUGUUUCCAGCAAACAGUACAUUUCAUGGUAGUCUUUCAACAGCUCUUGGAACUGGCCCCAGCUUAUCGGCUGAUCAGUCAUAUAAUCGCAGCAUGGAGGCUCUGAUAGCUUCUUCAGCGACAGUGAAUGCUUCAAACAAUUCCCGUGGAACUGGACGGACUAGCUCUCGUAGUAGGAAUCGCUCCCGAACUUUAGCUUCAACUGGUGCUGGCGAGGGUUCGACUUUUUUAAAUGCCCAAAAUGAUGAACCUCGGCUCCAUCUAGGUCCAGCUGGUAUUGAAACUGAAAAUGCUUCUUCACUGGCUACUGCAACAACUGCAGAGCUGCCGUGUACUGUGAAACUUAGAAUAUGGCCACAUGAUAUUCAAGAUCCCAGUGCCUCCCUAGAUCCAGAAACAUGCCGCUUAACCAUACCACAUGCCGUCCUUUGCAGUGAAAUGGGUGCCCAUUUUUCACCUUGUGGGAGGUUCUUGGUAGCUUGUGUUGCAUGCAUGCUACCUGACUUGGAAGGUGAUUCUGGACUUCAAUCACAGGUAAGCCUUUAUGCUGUUGAUGUUACAACAUCUCCUACACGCCAUCCAAUUUCUGCACACCAGGUCAUGUAUGAGCUUCGCAUCUAUUCACUUGAAGAGGCAACAUUUGGUUCAGUGUUAGCUUCUAGAGCGAUACGAGCUGCUCAUUGUUUGACAUCUAUUCAGUUCUCUCCGACAUCAGAGCACAUACUACUGGCAUAUGGACGCCGCCAUAGUUCACUUCUUAGAAGCAUUGUCAUUAAUGGAGACACUGCAAUCCCCAUCUACACGAUCUUGGAGGUUUAUAGAGUUUCAGAUAUGGAGCUUGUUAGAGUUCUUCCCAGUGCUGAAGAUGAGGUUAAUGUUGCAUGUUUUCAUCCUCUUCCUGGAGGAGGUCUUGUUUAUGGAACUAAGGAAGGAAAGCUUAGAAUUCUUCAUUAUGAUGGUUCAAGAGAGAUAAAUGGCGUGGGUUCAAAGCUUUCGACUGAUGAAAAUAUGCUUGAGGUGCAGAAGUACGCUUUAGAAUGAUGACCAAUGCAUUGCUGAACAUUGGCAAGCUCUACCGGUGUAAGGGUAUUUUUCUUCUUACAUGGUCACAGUUAAAAUAGAUGGAAUGCUGACCUAAGGAGAGUCCCAAGUUGCAUAAAGAACAUGCGAUAUGGGAGCUUUUCGAAUGAUGUUAGCAUCUUUGUGGGG